rnacentral:rRNA from 1 species
CAUCGAGACUCCUACGGGAGGCAGCAGUAGGGAAUCUUCCACAAUGGGCGCAAGCCUGAUGGAGCAACACCGCGUGAGUGAAGAACGGGUUUCCGCUCGUAAAGCUCUGUUGUUAAAGAAGAACACGUACGAGAGUAACUGUUCAUACGUUGACGGUAUUUAACCAGAAAGUCACGGCUAACUACGUGCCAGCAGCCGCGGUAAUACGUAGGUGGCAAGCGUUAUCCGGAUUUAUUGGGCGUAAAGAGAGUGCAGGCGGUUUUCCAAGUCUGAUGUGAAAGCCUUCGGCUUAACCGGAGAAGUGCAUCGGAAACUGGAUAACUUGAGUGCAGAAGAGGGUAGUGGAACUCCAUGUGUAGCGGUGGAAUGCGUAGAUAUAUGGAAGAACACCAGUGGCGAAGGCGGCUACCUGGUCUGCAACUGACGCUGAGACUCGAAAGCAUGGGUAGCGAACAGGAUUAGAUACCCUGGUAG